GUGGGAAUGCAUGUUUGUUCAGGUUCUCAGAGAAACUAGUAAAGAAAACAUCUUCACACUUGUGUAUUGGCUAAAAUCUGCAUUCUGACUUAAAGGGAGGGGUCUCUACUACUUUAAUCCUACUGUCUUGCCUAAGAGUAUUCAGAUCUUGCUUUAACUGGAUGGCUGUCACUUCUGCUUAAUAAAAGAAAUCCUUUUGAACAACCAUGUUUCAAGAGUUCUCACUUUCUUAAGUUAGAAGGAGAGGUGAUCCUUACACCCUGUCUUAUUUUCAGGGAAACACGGUAACUUUGAACAGUCACUAAAGGAACUGUUUUAAGGUUUUGGAAGCCCCAUGGCAAUUUAAAGACUGACAUUUUGAUUGGCAUGCAUUUUCAUGCUUUAUCAGAAGUAUGAAGUAGAAAUUUGAGUUGUGAGAUCAUAGAAAGACUCAUGGGUCCUUAAAGGUGAGAAGGGGAGCAUUAUCUUACAAGAUAAAUUACUGCACAAGGCUGACAAUACUCUAACUUUACCAUAAGUUCAGAAUCCCAGUAAAUAAGAGACACACAGCUGGAACCCAUCUCUUCUGGAGAAACAUCUGCAGAUGGAUUUGAUUCCUUUCACAACAACUAUUCCAAGCAUCUUCUAUCUCUGAUGAAAUGAACUCCCUGGGCUAUGCUUGAUGAUGCUCUGGCAUGUUUUGGGGGUUGAACUUUCAGAUCUAACCCACUGAAUUUCUGCAAAUGGGACUGUGGAGAACCCUCCCCUCUGCUGGCAUGAGAACAGUUGCCUGCCAUGAUUCUCAGCAGCUGCUAGCCUUGGAGACAAACAUUCUUCAUUCUUCUCAGGCAAUUCACUCUGUAGGCUUAAGGUGGAUUCACUGGAGAAAGCAAUCAUGUUUGGAAGAGUUAGUGAAACCAGGCUAUUAAAGACACUACCAGUGGUUGGACACUAUCAAAGCUGACACCAGUCACACCAUAGAAAAACUCAAAGAAACAGUGUAAGAUUAGAAGUGCGGAGUCCUGGCCCGUAAAAUCAUCAAGAGUUAGACUUGACUGAAAGGACAUCAUCAUCAUCAUCAUCUUCUUCAUCAUCAUCAUCAUCAUCAUCAUCAUCACCAUCUGCCAAAAUAUGAUAAUUUAAGACCGAUCAAUAUCUCUGGAGAAAGGAUUCUGGAUUGAUUUGUUCCAAAAUCAAUUUGUUUCUUUGACUAUCCAUGGUGUUCUCAGGAAUCUUCUCCAAAACUAAAGUUCAGAAGUAUUAAUAUUCUUCCUAUUCUGCUUCAAUUAAGUCCAACUUUCACUUCCAUUGAGUGUCACAGGAAUAUGGUGAUUACAUACCCUGUUUUCCCCAAAAGAAGACAUCACCUGAUAAUAAGCCCAAUCGGGCUUUUGAACACAUGGCAAUAAGGCCAAGCGCUUAUUUCAGGGUUCAAAAAAAUGUAAGACAGGCUCUCAUUUUUGGGGAAACAUGGUAUACAAAAUAUCUGUUGUGGGAGAUGCUCUCCACCAAAUGAUUGCUAUGCUAAUUGUAGAACACCGUUUACCAGAAAAUAACCCAACCAUCUCUGUUUCCAGUAUAUUGUAUACCGUUCCAGUGGGAUAUUUAUGAAUUCCAAAGGAACUGUGAGAAAUAAAUAUGAGGUCAGAUGUUG